rnacentral:tRNA from 1 species
GCCGCCUUAGCUCAGCUGGUAGAGCGACGCUUUCGUAAAGCGUAGGUCGUGAGUUCGAAUCUCACAGGUGGCU